rnacentral:rRNA from 1 species
AACGAACGCUGGCGGCAGGCUUAACACAUGCAAGUCGAACGCCCCGCAAGGGGAGUGGCAGACGGGUGAGUAACGCGUGGGAAUCUACCCAUCUCUGCGGAAUAGCUCCGGGAAACUGGAAUUAAUACCGCAUACGCCCUACGGGGGAAAGAUGUAUCGGGGAUGGAUGAGCCCGCGUUGGAUUAGCCAGUUGGUGGGGUAAAGGCCUACCAAGGCGACGAUCCAUAGCUGGUCUGAGAGGAUGAUCAGCCACAUGGGGACUGAGACACGGCCCAAACUCCUACGGGAGGCAGCAGUGGGGAAUAUUGGACAAUGGGCGCAAGCCUGAUCCAGCCAUGCCGCGUGAGUGAUGAAGGCCUUAGGGUUGUAAAGCUCUUUCACCGGUGAAGAUAAUGACGGUAACCGGAGAAGAAGCCCCGGCUAACUUCGUGCCAGCAGCCGCAGUAA